UCUGGCUUGCAGCGUGCAAGCUGCGCACUGCACUUGUAUGUCUGUUAGGGUCAAGACAUUCCUACAGGCCAGAACUGUACAUACAGAAACAAGACAAGUGGCUGAAACUGGACAACCCUGAGAAUCUAUCAGCAAGGACUACAUAGACUUCUACAGUGCAUCUUCCUUUUUGUAACAUGCUAUCCCCUGCAGAAUCUACAGUUUGGAAGUUCCUACAGACACAGCUUAGAGCCUUUCCCAUGUCUGAAUCAAACCUCAUCAGAUUUCACAGGCUAAGGAUCAGCACAGCAAGCAACGGCUGUCAGAAACGGAGCUUUGCAAGGGGCAGGGCGCAGGUUUCCCGGGCAGACCCAAUCGCUUCAUCCCAGGAGAGCCUGCGAGGAAAGGAUUGCUGAGUUUUGCGCAGACCCCGACUAACAUACAAAAGAUGACGGGGGGAAGAAAAAUGAAUGAUAUCAAAUAGGCAUCAAAGUAAAAUUUGUGGGAGACAUGUUUUAU